UCCUUCCUGGGUAUUUUCAUAGCACCUGCCAUCCUGAAUGAAGCACCAGUGCAGUGAGUUCCAGCUGUCUACUAGUCCUGGCUUCACACACCCCCCCCAAACCAGCAAGUCUUGGUGCUGAAAUGAAAAGAAAUGCUGAGAAAUAAAUAAAGCUUUGCCCGUCUGACUUGGAUAUUUAUAAUGGGUAUCGGGAAGUCUAAAAUAGAUCCCUGCCCUAUUUCCCUCCCUUUGGGUAAAAGCUACAGUGUGGAUGCAAGUCAAAGACAUCAUGAGUCAGGUUCCAAGAAAUCUGAAAUCUCCCUGUGUGAUGUUGCUGAGCAUAGCAGUACAACAGAGAUGCCAACAGGAGAGCGGGAGAGAGCUGAUGAAAUGGAAGAGGUGCCUGAAGAGGAUUCAGAAGAAGAGGUGUUCCUCAAAUUUGUGAUAUUGCAUGCAGAAGACGACAUCACUGAAGCUCUCCGAGUCCAGGAUCUGCUACAAAAUGACUUUGGCAUCAGACCUGGAAUAAUCUUUGCCGAGAUGCCAUGUGGCAGACAGCAUUUACAGAAUUUAGAUGAUGCUGUGAAUGGGUCUGCAUGGACAAUCUUAUUAUUGACCGAAAACUUUUUAAGAGAUACCUGGUGUAAGUUCCAGUUCUAUUCAUCCCUAAUGAACUCUGUUAACAGGCAGCACAAAUACAACUCUGUUAUACCCAUGCGGCCCCUGAACAACCCCUUGCCCCGGGAAAGGACGCCCUUUGCUUUGCGAACCAUCAAUGCCCUAGAGGAAGAAAGUCGCGGCUUUCCUACACAAGUAGAAAAAAUUUUUCAGGAGUCUGUGUAUAAGACACAAGAAACUAUAUGGAAAGAGACAAGAAAUAUGGUACAGAAGCAUUUUGUUGCCUGAGAUGGAACACAGAACACAUGGCUGGCUCUUGUCUUGUGAAACAAAUGAUUUAUCUUCACUUGAGAAAGCAAUUUCCUGGAAAAGUUAAAUAAAAGAGAUCCUUAUUCUUACAGAAACCUACAGAGCACAAGAAAGAUAAAUUUCUGCCGGACAAUCUAUAGACUUGUGGUACUUUUUGCUGUUUCAGUAAACUUGGGAACGUCUGAGUUUCAAGAACUUGCCUCUCACCAUUUUCUUAGUUCAUGAAUAUGACAAAGGAUAUUCUCAAUUCAUAGUCCUUGUAUUGAACCUUGAACAAAAAGUUGUUGGAUAGACCUUUUAAAAAUAUAUAAUAACACUUCCUGUCACUGAAUUUUGUUCUCAAAGGACACACCAAGAGAUCUGACCACUUCCCUUUUGAGACACCUCUUAUCAAUGUUGUGAUAAAGCAGCCCCAUAUUGUCACUCAGAAACCUGGAUAGCUAGAAAAGAACAUAUGGAAUAUUGACUACUGACGAGUAUGAAAUCAGAAAUAGAUGUGAAAAUGGUGGGGCUUUUAAAAAACCAGUCAACUGUAUUUUCUUCCUGCUGGAAUUUGCAUAUUUAGAGGCAAUUCCCACCACUGAUCAGCAAGCCCACUUUGAUAGUAUGGUGGUUAGGGACUCCACGGAAAAGUGUUGAGAUGUCCCCUGGAGCUGGAAGGUCCCCAUGUUCGUCAUUUUCUCUAACAGGGUUUUAUUUGCAGAGCUUCUGAAAGGUGCAUGAUUGUGUGUCUUUGGCCGGAUGAUCAAUAACCUCUCUUAGGGUAACCUUUAAAAAUUCCUCUCAUGCACAAUGAGAGAAACUUUCUAUCCAGGAAGUAUUUCUCAGUUAGGUGUUUAGAGUAGCCUGACUCUGUGUGUGUGUGUGUGUGUGUGUGUGUGUGUGUGUGUGUGUGUGUGUGUGUGUUAGAUAAUUUUUAGACUUUGGAGAGAAGUAGAAGAUGUGUUUUUUCUCCUCUUCUAGUACCCCACACUCAUAGCAAACCAGAGAAUCCCCAAAAAGAACUAGCCCUGUUUCUCACUGCCCUACUGCCCCAGCUGAGGUUGAGGGAGAGUUCUCAAAUACAGACUGGGACAGGGUCGGGUAUGAAUCAUGUCAUGUAAUGCGAAAAGCACCUGACGGGGCUCAAGAGACCUGGUUCUAGCCCACUCUGACACUGAGGAUGAAUGUGACUCUGGGCAAGCCAUUACUUUCCCUCUUUUACCUGUGAAAUAAAAGGACUGAAUGGAUGGAUCUCUAAAGGCCUUUGUUCUCUCCUACAAUGUGAACAGCUAGGAACCAGAAAAGGGAACAAGAAAAAAAAAAAAGAAUUUUAUAAUAUGAUAUGAUUUUAUAAUGUGAUAGGUACUGUAACAGUUGCAGGAGGCUUUAUCUAUGCUUACAAUGAAAGGGCAGCCUUCUGUGUUUUCAGCGUAAUUGAUUUCAAAUGCUGUCCAUUAUGCUUUUAUAGUCACAGAGAAGAAUCUGCUUACUCAGAUUUUCUUUAAACAUAAUUUUUUAGAGACCCUUGAGCAAAGACAUUCUGCCUAAUUUUUUUUUCUCAGUAUCCCUUACUAGUACAGGGGUCUACUCACCUCUGUCUGCAGCCCACCUCUUCAUAGUCAUGAACCAAAAUGUUCCUUGAGGAUCAUUCCCCAGUAAUCCUGCAACCGUUCUCAGUGUUCCAGUCGAGCUCCCCUCAGAGUCGUAUCAAGGUGGUUCCAGCGUCAGGCACCAUAAACAGACGUGGCAACGUCCUGCUUAAAAAAAAAUGACAGGAGUGAUUCACCCAAGUAAGGAAAAAUAUUUCAAACUGCAUUAUUGAAAAUUGCUUAUAUGUGGGAUACUAAUUCUAGUUGGUUUUAUUAUUAUUUUAAAGUUCUCCUCACCUGCAUCCGAGUGGACUCCCCCUACCGCCCCCCCUUCCCCUACACCCUCGAGUGCCAUAGCUGUGGAGUCGGCCCACCUGCGUUUGAAUCCCUCCCCGUCCCCUAUAAAUUUAUGAUCUUGAGCAAGACAGCUAGCCUUUGGGACUCAGUGUCUUCAUCCUGAAAUAAAAAUAAUACCUCCCUAGUAGGUUAUUUUGAGGAUUACAUGAAAUAACACAUGUGAAGCACUCAAAUAGUGCCCCCCACACAGCUACUGUACCAGUUCUCGGCUGCUAGAACUUCUGUUACCUUCCCACAUUUAAUCUGCACCACGGGAUGGGAGAGAGGGCAAAUACGAGUUUAUAACUACCCCAAACCCUAUACUUACAGCCCUUGCAACUUGUGGGGAAUCGAUUUUAAACAAAGAAAGAAAUGCUGGGCCUUGUUUCUGUGUGCAGUGCAGUUCCCAUCUGGGCACUGGAAAUGGAGAGAAGCCCUUUGAUCAGCAAGAGAUAUGCGAGCUGUUAAGGGUAGGCGUGGGUUUGGAGGGGGCCGGAGGCAGGGAGAAUGCAAGAGCAUGGCCUGGGGACUGGAGCAAGUCAGGGAAGUUGGAUCAUAAAGUAGAAAAGCAGGAACGUGGAGUCUAAGAGUGCCAGCUCUGAAGCCAGGUCGGAAAUGGCCCAGGUACGGAUGCCUCAGCUGUGUUUUUGUCGCUCCUCACCUCAGAAGCAGUGGAUGAAUGUAUGCAUUUGAGUUGGGGGGCGGCGCGGGGCGUGAGGAGGGUCAUUUAACUCAGCCCUUUUCUGGGACCGAACAACCUGUAGAUAAUUUUGCCUCAUUUGGGAAUACACAUUGAUGAAGUUUAGUUAAUCUGUUCUCCCUUGGGGAAGGCGGAGGGGGUAGUGAGAGAAUCACUGGUCUGCUUUGCUCCAAUCCUGUCCUGACUAUGUGGAUUUCUACCCUGAAUUCAUGGUUGCUUGCUAGACUUAACCCCCUCCAGUGCAAGUCACGGCUCUUUUCCAUUUCAUUCCCUUGCCCUUAAGGCAUUGGUUGGGCAUUGGAAUGAAACCAAAAGCUCCUGUAAGGGCCCCAGGCCUCCGUGUGUAGGGAGUGACACAGCUAGUUACAAAAACAGCUUCCUUGGCUUCUCUCAUUGACUGCAGCUCAUUCUUAAACCCCGAGCCGGGUUGCUGACUGUGAGCAUUGUUCCAGAGCCCUAAAAAGCCCAAGCACUUCACCUCCACAUAGUAAAUAAAACCUUGGAUUGCGAGUAACAUGGUUUGCGAGUGUUCCGCAAGACGAGCAAACAUUUCUAAUACAUUAAUU